rnacentral:rRNA from 1 species
GGAUUAAGGCAGAGUGUGACGGAGCACGCCGCGUGAGUGAUGAAGGUGUUUCGGAUCGUAAAGCUCUGUUGUUAGGGAAGAACAAGUACCGUUCGAAUAGGGCGGUACCUUGACGGUACCUAACCAGAAAGCCACGGCUAACUACGUGCCAGCAGCCGCGGUAAUACGUAGGUGGCAAGCGUUGUCCGGAAUUAUUGGGCGUAAAGGGCUCGCAGGCGGUUUCUUAAGUCUGAUGUGAAAGCCCCCGGCUCAACCGGGGAGGGUCAUUGGAAACUGGGGAACUUGAGUGCAGAAGAGGAGAGUGGAAUUCCACGUGUAGCGGUGAAAUGCGUAGAGAUGUGGAGGAACACCAGUGGCGAAGGCGACUCUCUGGUCUGUAACUGACGCUGAGGAGCGAAAGCGUGGGGAGCGAACAGGAUUAGAUACCCUGGUAGUCCACGCCGUAAACGAUGAGUGCUAAGUGUUAGGGGGUUUCCGCCCCUUAGUGCUGCAGCUAACGCAUUAAGCACUCGCCGGGGGGGGGGGAU